rnacentral:rRNA from 1 species
AUGCAUGCUUUUACAGUAUGGAAAUUGGUGAUUUAUAAUAACUUGGCAAAUCGCAAAGUGAAAACAGGCGAUAAAUCAUUCAAGUUUCUGACCUAUCAGCUUUCGACGGUAUGGUAUUGGCUUACCGUGGCAGUGACGGUUAACGGGGGAUUAGGGUUCGAUUCCGGAGAGGGAGCCUGAGAAACGGCUACCACAUCUAAGGAAGGCAGCAGGCGCGCAAAUUACCCAAUUCUAACAGUUUGAGAGAGGUAGUAACAAGAAAUAACAAUACAAGGCAAUUAAAAUGCUUUGUAAUUGGAAUGAUAGAAAUUUAAACCCUUUUUAAAGUAUCAAUUGGAGGGCAAGUCUGGUGCCAGCAGCCGCGGUAAUUCCAGCUCCAAUAGCGUAUAUUAAAAUUGUUGCAGUUAAAAAGCUCGUAGUUGAAGUUCUGCUAAAAGUAACCGGUCUGCUUUUAAUAAAAGUGGUAUCUUGGUGUGUAUUUAGCAAUGAUGUCCUUUGAAGUG